CAGUAGCGUAUGCUAAAGUUGUUGCAGUUAAAAAGCUCGUAGCUGAAAUUUGGGGCGACGCGUCGCAGGGUCCGCCGGGACGGUGUGUACCAGCGGCCGCGCCCUUCCUUCCGGUUUCUUUUUGCUCGCGCGCGGGGCUUCACUGUCUCGCGUGUGCAGCUCCGGAUAUUUCACUGUGAAAAAAUUAGAGUGUUCAAAGCAGGCCUAAUUAUGCCUUGAAUAUUUCAGCAUGGGAUGAUAGAACAGGUCUUUGCGCCUAUUUUGUUGGUUUUCUAGGAGGCGAAGAAAUGAUUAAUGGGAACAGUUAGGGGAAUUCGUAUUUAACAGUCAGAGGUGAAAUUCUUGGAUUUGUGAAAGACGAACUUCUGCGAAAGCAUUUUCCAGAGAUGCUUCCGUCAG
rnacentral:rRNA from 1 species